rnacentral:lncRNA from 1 species
AUUUUGAUUUUUUCAUGAGAAUAGUACUCUCCAUGAAAUUAGUCUUUACUGUAUUCUAUUAGUUUUCAUUGUAUUGCCAGUAGUACCAACCUUCUAGACCUUAGUAGGAACUCACUGAUGAGAUGAAUUCAUCAGUGAAUAAAUGAAUAGUGAAACCCCCAUGGCUAAGUGUUUUCUUGUGUGAGAGGAAGUAGAAGGAAACCAAUGAGGCUGAAGUAGAGGUGACUAUGGGAUGUAAUGGAAGGGGUGAGUAAGGGAUAGGUCCUGCAGAGAAUUUUGGAUAAUGCCAAUGAAUUUGGAAUUUGGUUUUGGAUGAGUCAGGGUUCUCCAGAGGAAAAUAAUCAUAUAUAUAUAUAUAUAUAUAUAUAUAUAUAUAAUAUAUAUAUGUAUAAAUUCAUUAAAAGGAAUUGGUUCAAGUGAUUAUGGAGGCUGAGAGAUUUGCUACAUAAGUGACACAGGAGAACCAGCAUAUAACAACAGUCCAAGUGUAAGGCCUGAGAACUGGAAAAGCUGAUGCUGUGAUGCUGUGAAUAUUACUGUGGAAGCUGGUUGUCUAUAUUCCUCAAAAAUGUGUUUCAGUCCUAGACUAUUCAGAUCUUUGAUUAGCUGAAGGAGGUGUGCUGCAUUAGGAAGAGAAACUUGCUUUACUUGCUACUGUUGCAAAUGUCUAUCACAUCCAGGUAGACUUCUUAGCAGAUGCCUCAUGUUCAGUAUAGCAAUUCUUGAACAAGUGUGUGUUGAAUUUCAAUCCUUUAGGCCAGAGUCCUCUUAGGAUGUUUCUUCUGAGACAUGGGCUCUUCAGUCUUACUCUCUCAACAGCCAGUCAGAACAUGGAUCAGCACAAUUGCUCUCAGAUCUUUUCUACUCAGAGAUGCUUUCUCUCUUACAGGCACCUAGGACACAUCUCACUGAGGGAAAAAUAAGGACUUGGGAAGUCAAUUCCCAGGCCACCAUUAUAUGCCCUGGUCCUAAGGAUUGGAUGAUGAAUGGGCAGUUUGUAUCUCUGCCCUGCUUGUUGGUGGACUGAAUCCAUGCAGACUCCAAGGCUGUGGUGUUCACCCCCAAGAACCCAGGAACUAGUUGUAAUAAGUGGUGGUUACACUUUUUGGACACGGAGCACUUGACAGAAUGUGAGUAGGUGUGUGUGUGUGUGUGUGUGUGUGUGUGUGUGUGUGUGAAUAUAUAUAUAUAUGUAUAUGUAUAUAUAUAUGUAUAUGUAUAUAUAUAUGUAUAUGUAUAUAUAUAUGUGUGUGUGUGAGAGAGAGAGAGAGAGAGAGAGAGAGAGAGAGAGAGAGAGAGAGAGAUUUUAAUUUGCUUCUUUAUAUUUUAAACAUGUAAGUGUAUUUAGUGGUAUUUGCAAUUUACUUUUGUUUAUUGUAUGCCCCUUCUCUCUUUUUCCUGUGUUAACUUCUUAUGGUUUCAUUGUAUGCAAAUCACCUUUUAAUGCGUCUGUUUGUCCUAAGUCAUAGGAUAACAGUCUUGAAUUUUUAUUCUUAACUCCUCAUUUUCCACUGCACUAUUGAUUAAACAAUAUCUACAUUUCUUGAACAUUUGUAGCUUCAUGUGUUUCCCACUGGCCUAAAAAAGACUCCUCUAAAGUAACUAGAAAGGAGGAGCUAUUAUUCAUAGAAAGAGGACCAGAAUCUUAAAUAUUUCAAAAUGAUUCUUAUAAAUGCCAUUUUUAACUUUUGAUUUUUAAAUGUAGACUUAUGUUUACUCUUAGUUUUGCUUUUUUUUGACAAGUUUUCUCUAUUUCCUGUUUGACUUGAACUCCCUGUAUAGCCAAGGAUGAACUUGAACUUCUGAGCCUCCUGAUUCUACCUCCUGAGAUCUGGGUCACAUGUGGUACCACCAUGACUGGUUAGUAUAGUGCUGGUGCCUGAACCCAGAGCCUCAAGCAUGCUCGCCAAGCCCUCUACAGCUGAGCCACAUUGCUAUCCCUCAUCUUAUUUUAGUUUUGACUAAUACAUAGUUUUACAUAUUUAUGGGUAUACGGU